ensembl:snRNA U6 U6 spliceosomal RNA
GUGCUCCCUUCAGCAGCACAUAUACUAAAACUGGAACAAUAUAGAGAUUAGCAUGGUCCCUGCACAAGGAUGACAUGCAAAUUGGGGAAGCGCUAAAAGAUAUA